GGCGGACGGGUGAGUAACGCGUGGGUAACCUGCCUCACACUGGGGGAUAACAGUUAGAAAUAGCUGCUAAUACCGCAUAAGCGCACAGUUCCGCAUGGAACAGUGUGAAAAACUCCGGUGGUGUGAGAUGGACCCGCGUCUGAUUAGCCAGUUGGCGGGGUAACGGCCCACCAAAGCGACGAUCAGUAGCCGGCCUGAGAGGGUGAACGGCCACAUUGGGACUGAGACACGGCCCAAACUCCUACGGGAGGCAGCCAUG
rnacentral:rRNA from 1 species